UACGAAGGGGGCUAGCGUUGUUCGGAAUUACUGGGCGUAAAGCGCACGUAGGCGGAUUGUUAAGUGAGGGGUGAAAUCCCAGGGCUCAACCCUGGAACUGCCUCUCAUACUGGCAAUCUCGAGUUCGAGAGAGGUGAGUGGAAUUGCGAGUGUAGAGGUGAAAUUCGUAGAUAUUCGCAGGAACACCAGUGGCGAAGGCGGCUCACUGGCUCGAUACUGACGCUGAGGUGCGAAAGCGUGGGGAGCAAACAGG
rnacentral:rRNA from 2 species